AACCUGGUUGAUCCUGCCAGUAGUCAUACGCUCGUCUCAAAGAUUAAGCCAUGCAUGUGUAAGUUCAACUAUAUGAUCUGAAAACUGCGAACGGCUCACUAUAUCAGUUUUCGUCUAUUUGACAGUCCCUUUACUAUUCGGAUACCCGUAGUAAUUCUAGAGCUAAUACGUGCGUCAACACUCGUAAGAGUGGCGUUUACUAGAUAGAAACCAUCCCGUUUCGGCGGUAUUUUGGUGAUUCACAAUAACCUAGCGGAUCGCAUGGCUUUGCCGGCGAUAGGUCAUUCGAGAUUCUGCCCUAUCAGAUAGACGGUAGUGUAUUGGACUACCGUGUCUUUAACGGGUAACGGAGGAUUAGGGUUUGAUUCCGGAGAGGGAGCCUGA
rnacentral:rRNA from 1 species